UCCUCCGCGCCUCUCUGACUCAGCGGCCGGUGCCGGGUUGGAGCCGCCCGCCGUGAGGGGAGGGUGGCGGGAAGAUGCCCGCCCUGAGGGGACGGAGCCUCCGGGGCGCUCAGUGAGGGCGGGCUUGAGGGGGAUCCCUCCCUCCUGAGGGAUUAGCGCCCGUCUCGGCUGCCCUGUGGCUGACGGCGACUCACCUGGUGGGCGGCCGUCUUACCCUCCCUCCCAGACCCGGUCGCUUCGGCCGAGAGGGAGCGGAGCCCGCCUCGCCCCUCCCCGGGGAAACUUUCCGCCGCCAGGGAGACCUGGGCAGUGUUGGCCACUAACUUCUGGGAGAGGACCCUGGCUUCACGGAGGGGAGUAGGCAAGUGCCAAGGCCCUGCAAUCAGAAAAGCAGCAGCUGAUCUCUGAUAGCUUGACUGUCUGUAAUAGAAAAUGUCAAAACUUCACUCUUGUUAAAGAAUGUCUGGAGGAACUGACUGUGGUGGAAAGCUGAAUGCUGCUGAAAGGUGUCAGCUGAAGAAACUUUAGAUCUGGAUUGUCCACCAAAUGGAAGACCUGCCAGAGCAAGUUUUUCCUUGCUGACCUGUUGACAUGCUUUAAUUGCAGAACAGUUGGUGUUUGUCAGUUGAAUCACUGUACAAUUAGAAUCUGAUUGCUUUCUGAAGAUGUUUGGGAUCCUUCAGAUAUAAAAAGGAAUGCUAGAAAAUAACUUGAUAUCUGAUCCAGCGCCUGGGCUAGAUGAGAGUAAACUGAGCCCUCGUCAACUUAAUGUUUGCCACAGGCAAGUUGUUUUCAGCUAAUAACUUAAAGUUGGUAUUUGUGUUCUUCAUUUGAUGCUUUCUACAGUCUGUUUAUGACGACUUUGUGCAGUAGGAGUGAACGUUCAGAAUGAACUGUUUGAUUGAAUUUUACUGAGAUGUUAUUGUUUGUCACCAAGGGAUGACCGAUCUUUUUCAUGAUUCUUCAUUACUAACGGUGUACAUGGCUUUAAUCUUGUGACUGUAUGUAUGUGCUGUAUACUGUUAGGUGCAGUUUUUGUUUAGAAUACAUAAAUGCUGGAGAUGAAUUUGGUAUUUUACAGUGUUUGUCAAUCACAUACUCCCAAAGAUCAUCUUCAAGCAAUGGGGUAGUUUUUAUGCAUGUAAUAACUAAUACAGUAAAUGGGGCAGGCAGCUCAGGGGAACCUUGCUGAAAGUUUCCUGUGGUUGGUAGAUAUUUCUAGAGUUGGCAACAUUGAAAGCCCUUGCUGUUCUGAUGUGUUGUUGUCUAACUCUGAAAAAGAUCUGAUUUGAAUCAAAACACUGCAAGUUGUUAAUGACCCAUGUAUCUGAGAACUCCCAGUGUCAUAACUUGAGUUGCCCAAAUUAGGAUUUGGAAGUGGCAGGAAGCUCUUAAAUAUAGAAUUGUAGAUUUAGGUUGGAAAAGACCUUUAAGAUCAUUGAGUCCAACCAUAAACCUAACAAUGCCAAGUCCGCCACCAAACCAUGUCCCUAAGUGCUAUCUUGGAUAAAUAAGACCUUGUGGGACUUCAUGCAGGAGAUGAGGGGACACGCAUGCUUGUCUUGGAGGUUUCUUUCACAGAGGCUGUAUCUGUUCUUUAUCUAUGGUGGCUAGACUUAGGAUAUCCUUGUGCAGGAAAAGAUGCCUAUAGUACAAGUGCAGACUGUAGCAGUCAUCUGCUUAGGCAGUAAGCUGUUAACAGAGGCAGGACUUGAGUGUUCAAUAACAUAGUGGUAGUUAUAAAUUCUUACGUAAACAUCAAUAACGAAGUAGCACUUUUGUGGAAAGUGAGCUUUCCUAUUGUGCACAUGCAAAUGUAACAGUGGCUCUGCCACUGGAUCUCUUGGCAUCUCACUGUAUUUUGAAUGUGUGGUGAGAGAUGUGCCUUUCCUGUUCACUUUAGGUCUUCUCAUGGCUGCAGAAGAGUAGGACAAUAUUUCAGGAGUCUGUAAUUACCAAAGCACCAGUACGGAACCUCUACCCCAAAAAAGUAUGUUUAGAGAGCUACAGGACAGAAGUAGUUAUUUAAAGGAGGGUCUGAUGGGGAGGGAAUGAGUGUUGUCUUGAAGUUUGUGGAGUAGAGUCUGAGGCUGGAGUAGGAAAGAUGCACAAAAAAAGAAAAUUGCAAAGGCUAGGUAGGAUGGAGGAUUACAACAGGUUAGAGGAGAAGAGAGGGCAACAGGUUAAAUAGUUCAGAAUUGCCUGUGUAUGGUCCCUCCUAGAGCUUUGCGUGCAUCUCAAGAGUCUUGCAUCACUGAUCUUUGAUUACUUUUUUUAAAUCAGUAUUAUUGAAGAAAGCCAUAAUUUAUCUUACUGUUGUUUACUAGCUGAAAUGGUGGAGGCUGAUCAAAAGUUUCCGAUUCUACUCUUGGGAUCAUACUGCUGUACUGCUCGUAGAAUUUGUCAUAUGAUAUCUAGAUGCAUAAUACCAGUUUCUUUUAUUUAAAUUCUUAAAUGACAUGCAAAGUCUACAUUGAAACAAGCUCUAAACUGUAAAGUCAAGCAACUUGUAAAUUCCACAGUUGAGCUUGCCUCUGGUUUAUUAAUAAAGUUCUCUUGCUGCACCU